rnacentral:lncRNA from 1 species
GUUGUUUUGACAAGGUGUCCGCUGGGUAAUAGUAAAAGUCCAGUGAAUGAGGUACAAGCAUGUUUUUAAUCUUGGAUUAUAUUUGUAGACGAAUCUACAAGACUAAAAUGGGCACUAAAUCUGCAUUUACUCAGACUGAAGAGGCUGUUUCACAGGACAAUGACGGAGAGCCGAUUUAUGUCAAUGAAGUCAUGAUGUCAUCAGCCCGAGCUGCCCAACUAGGAUCUUCUUAUAAACCAUCUUAAAAUGUCUACACCCUGCUGCUUCCUGUCUACUUCAUGACAUUACGGUGAACUUCUGCUAUUUGCCAAAAUUCAGAGGAUUUAUCAAACAUUUCUCAACCGUCUUCAAUAGUGAGUAGUAUUAUUUCUGUACUACUAAUACAGAUGUAUUCUGUGCUUACGUUAUUGUUUUAUUAUUU